rnacentral:pre_miRNA from 1 species
UGUUAUGGAUGGGCAAAGGAAGUGGUUUUUUGAGAUGAAAUUUACUCCUAGUGAAGAUGCUGUGAA